rfam:Dictyocaulus viviparus strain HannoverDv2000 D_viviparus-1.0_Cont200.12, whole genome shotgun sequence.
GUCUCAGUAGUGUAAUGGAUCAGCACGGUAGACCGUAUAUCUGUAAGUGCGGGUUUGAGUUCCGUCUGAGGUU